rnacentral:tRNA from 1 species
GCUGUUGUAAAGAGUUGUGAUAAUCAGGCUGUAAGGGACUCAUAAUCCGUCGGUCCCAGGUUCGAGUCCUGGUAACUGCACCA